CAGUAGCCGCGGGAAUACAGAGGGUGCGAGCGUUAAUCGGAUUUACUGGGCGUAAAGCGUGCGUAGGCGGCUAAUUGAGUCGGAUGUGAAAUCCCCGAGCUUAACUUGGGAAUUGCAUUCGAUACUGGUUAGCUAGAGUGUGGGAGAGGAUGGUAGAAUUCCAGGUGUAGCGGUGAAAUGCGUAGAGAUCUGGAGGAAUACCGAUGGCGAAGGCAGCCAUCUGGCCUAACACUGACGCUGAGGUACGAAAGCAUGGGGAGCAAACAGGAUUAGAUACCCCUGUAGUCCCUGUCUCUUAUAA
rnacentral:rRNA from 1 species